rnacentral:rRNA from 1 species
GAUGAACGCUGGCGGCGUGCCUAAUACAUGCAAGUCGAGCGAACGGACGAGAAGCUUGCUUCUCUGAUGUUAGCGGCGGACGGGUGAGUAACACGUGGAUAACCUACCUAUAGGACUGGGAUAACUUCGGGAAACCGGAGCUAAUACCGGAUAAUAUUUUGAACCGCAUGGUUCAAAAGUAAAAGACGGUCUUGCUGUCACUUAUAGAUGGAUCCGCGCUGCAUUAGCUAGUUGGUAAGGUAACGGCUUACCAAGGCAACGAUGCAUAGCCGACCUGAGAGGGUGAUCGGCCACACUGGAACUGAGACACGGUCCAGACUCCUACGGGAGGCAGCAGUAGGGAAUCUUCCGCAAAGGGCGAAAGCCUGACGGAGCAACGCCGCGUGAGUGAUGAAGGUCUUCGGAUCGUAAAACUCUGUUAUUAGGGAAGAACAUAUGUGUAAGUAACUGUGCACAUCUUGACGGUACCUAAUCAGAAAGCCACGGCUAACUACGUG